GGGUUUAUAGCUCAGUUGGUUAGAGCACUACCUUGACAUGGUAGGGGUCGUUGGUUCGAGUCCAAUUAAACCCA
rnacentral:tRNA from 1 species